AUAUUUUUCUCACCAAUACCAUAACCCUACCUUACCUUCUCUUUCUAUAUCUCAAUCAACGAUCAGCAGCUCAAAGCAUUUCUUCAGCUUUUGUUGCAGAUCUCUCUUAAAGCAAAUGAAGAGUUAGUACAGGAAAAUAAAAAAUGAGUCAUUCUCCAACUCUGCUCAAUCCAAGCAAUUUACACAGAGGAAAACUUCAAAGUUCAGGGGUUGAUGAUUUCAUCUACCAUUUAGAGACUAAAAUGAAAAGUAAUCUCUACACUAUUUAAUUGCAAAACUUAUUUUUUUUGAAUUAUUUCCUUCCUUCUUUUC